rnacentral:rRNA from 1 species
CGAUGAUCUCCCGCUUGCGGGGGUGAUUAGUGGCGAACGGGUGAGUAAUACGUGAGUAACCUGCCCUUGACUCUGGGAUAAGCCUGGGAAACCGGGUCUAAUACUGGAUACGACUUCCCAUCGCAUGGUGGGGGGUGGAAAGGGUUUGACUGGUUUUGGAUGGGCUCACGGCCUAUCAGCUUGUUGGUGGGGUAAUGGCUCACCAAGGCGACGACGGGUAGCCGGCCUGAGAGGGUGACCGGCCACACUGGGACUGAGACACGGCCCAGACUCCUACGGGAGGCAGCAGUGGGGAAUAUUGCACAAUGGGCGCAAGCCUGAUGCAGCGACGCCGCGUGAGGGAUGACGGCCUUCGGGUUGUAAACCUCUUUCAGCAGGGAAGAAGCCACAAGUGACGGUACCUGCAGAAGAAGCGCCGGCUAACUACGUGCCAGCAGCCGCGGUAAUACGUAGGGCGCAAGCGUUGUCCGGAAUUAUUGGGCGUAAAGAGCUCGUAGGCGGUUUGUCGCGUCUGCUGUGAAAGCCCGGGGCUCAACCCCGGGUCUGCAGUGGGUACGGGCAGACUAGAGUGCAGUAGGGGAGACUGGAAUUCCUGGUGUAGCGGUGAAAUGCGCAGAUAUCAGGAGGAACACCGAUGGCGAAGGCAGGUCUCUGGGCUGUUACUGACGCUGAGGAGCGAAAGCAUGGGGAGCGAACAGGAUUAGAUACCCUGGUAGUCCAUGCCGUAAACGUUGGGCACUAGGUGUGGGGGACAUUCCACGUUCUCCGCGCCGUAGCUAACGCAUUAAGUGCCCCGCCUGGGGAGUAC